AGGCCGAGUAGACCGCCAAGUGGGAUAAAUAUAACCGGGCUGGUUGAGCUCGUUGGGCUAGUAGAUUACAAACGAGUGUUGUGCUGAGUCGAGCUCUGUUGCGAUGCAAGUUGCGUUCGAUCGAUAGAAGCGAAAGAUCGAAAUUGAUUGGGAAUAAAAAAGCUUCGAAAUUCCGCUGAAAAAGUGAUUUUUUUCCAAAGCCUCCAAACUCUGAGUGGAAUUGAGUUUCAAGGCUCGAGUGACGAGAUUGACGAAUAAAAAAUUGCCGAGGGGAAAAUUCGAGUGGAGAAUUCGGGGAUAAUGAGAUAGAG